CUUUAAAAAAAAUUAAAAAUGCAAUAUCUACAAAGUGCAAUAAAGCAAGGUGUGUCUGUAUAAAAAUGUAUUUGAGAUAGAUUAUAGAUCUAAACAUAAAACUAAACCCAUUAAGCUUCUGGGAAAAAACGAGAGAAUAUACUCAGGAUCUAGGAUAUUCAGAGUUUCUUAGGGCACUAAACAAUAACCACAAAAGAAAAAAAUUAAGUUAGUCUUCAUCCAAAUCAAAAACUUUUAUUCAUUCAGAGAUCCAUUAAGAAAAUGAAUAGUCAGACUACAGGAUGGGAGGAAAUAUUUUCAAGCAGAUAUCUGACAAAGAACUUGUAUCCAGAAUAGAUAACUCAACAACUUAAUAAUUUAAAGUUAAGAAGAAUUUAAUUCUUCCCUUCCAAGGAAUUCAUCUGAGUGAAAUAUUAAAAUAUGUCCUCUAAAAAA